UCGCCUGUUUAUCAAAAACAUCACCUCCAGCAUAACUAGUAUUGGAGGCACUGCCUGCCCAGUGACAACCGUUAAACGGCCGCGGUAUCCUGACCGUGCAAAGGUAGCAUAAUCACUUGUUCUCUAAAUAGGGACUUGUAUGAAUGGCCACACGAGGGUUUUACUGUCUCUUACUUCCAAUCAGUGAAAUUGACCUUCCCGUGAAGAGGCGGGAAUAUACUAAUAAGACGAGAAGACCCUAUGGAGCUUUAACUACUUAGCCCAAAGAAACAAAUUUCAUUACCAAGGAAACAACAACACUCUUUAUGGGCUAACAGCUUUGGUUGGGGUGACCUCGGAGAACAAGAAAACCUCCGAGCGAUUUUAAAGACUAGACCUACAAGUCGAAUCACACAAUCGUUUAUUGAUCCAAAAAAUUGAUCAACGGAACAAGUUACCCUAGGGAUAACAGCGCAAUCCUAUUCAAGAGUCCAUAUCGACAAUAGGGUUUACGACCUCGAUGUUGGAUCAGGACAUCCCGAUGGUGCAACCGCUAUCAAAGGUUCGUUUGUUCAACGAUUAAAGUCCUACGUGAUCUGAGUUCAAACC
rnacentral:rRNA from 1 species